ACAGGGUGACAGCCAGACCCCUUGAGAGCCGGAGGACAGAAUGGAAAGAUGGGAGGGGGGCCGGGUGUUGCAUGGCAGGAAGCGCCACUGAGAAAGACUUGUAUUUUGUGACGGGAUGAUGGAUGGCUGCACAAGGAGGACGCGGCUAGACAUGUGCACGCUGGUACCUGGCUGGGUCUGUGGCAGAAUGACGACGAGGAUGCCAGCGUGGGACGGGGCCGGCAUGUAAAGACGGGUCGGUUCAUCACUGGGGUCCAAACCAGGCUGCAGCCUCCGGUUCUGAAAAGGGAAUCCAGUUGGGAAGGGCCUUAAACCUGCAUUCUGUCCAUAGGGGGGCGUUGUAAAAAGAAGUGUAAUUGUAUAGAGGUCUUUGAGUAAAUUACUAUUUCUCACUUGAUUUAUUCCCUCAAUAAACAUUGUAUGAGUUUAUGGUCUCAA